ensembl:lncRNA SNHG17 small nucleolar RNA host gene 17
GUAGCUUCCUUGUCGUGUGGCCUCAGUCCUUCGCCGUCCCUCGCCGUCCUUCGCCAUCGCACGCCACCGCACCCCAUCUCUCGAAAUCUGCAGACAUCUUGAUUUUUCCCACGCUGUCUGUCAGGUCUCCGCCGCCACUCGACGCCAGGGCGCCGGGCCUUGUGGGCUGUGCUGCACCUCGGACGGCUUCGCACCAGCCAGCGCCCUCUCUCUCCUGCAGCACUCUGAUCUGCACCCCCUGAGGGGCUUCCACUGUCCGCGGGGUGAGAAUGCCCCUGGGAGUGUCACAUGACUGCCGCCCCAUGUGUGUGAGAGGCGUCCUCUGGGAGAGCAUGGAUCCUGAGGUCCCAGGAUUGUCAGCUGACCUCUGUCCUGUGUGCCCAGUGGCCCCAGGUGACGUGUCUUCAAGAAGAGGCUGAGCUGCGGUGCUUGUAAGGCAGGGUCUCAUUCUGUCACCCAGGCUGGAGUGCAGUGGUGCAAUGAUGGCUCACUGCAGCCUCGACCUGGGCUCAAGUGAUCCUCCACCUCAGCUUCCUGAGUAGCUGGGACCACAGAGUCAUGUGCUGUUCCUGGGGCUUGGAUGAUGUAGGGGAAGCAAGGUGAAAGUGGUAUCCCGUGGUUCCACGUUCUGUCCUGCUGUGGGGCUGUCCCUCACAUGCUUUCAGUGGCUGUUGCAGAGGAAGAGCCUCCGGAAAUCUGCGUGGGUAAAGUGAGCUCCCCGGGGGAACCGUCCUCCUCCCUUGAGCGCUGGUGUGUCCAUAGUGUGCUGUGAUCUGGAUUAGCAGUGAGUUUUUCUUUCAGGGUGUGUGUGUAUGAUGUUAGGACCAUAUGCUCCUGACCUUUUCCAACCCAAAAGCGUUUCCAUUUUUUUAAUGCUGGAAGUGUCUUAACUCCUUUUGGGGUCUUAGAAGGACACACGGUGGCCGUGGCUGGGCCUCUGCUCAGCUGGGCUGCUCUCCCUGCCUCAGGCCCUUGACACCAGCCUCCCUCCCUUGCUGGCUCUCUUUCUGUCCUUCCCUGCUCUUGUAUCCAAAAGUGAUCAUGGGUUGCCUGUGUCCCGAUCAUUAACAGUGCAGGGGUAGGAGUGCUGAAAGACAUCUUCCCUGCGUUGGUCCAGCCUUCCCUUUCAAACCCUGGAGCUUUCCCACGCUGCAGCCUUUUUCCAACUAGGCUUUCAGAGCUUGGGCCUUUGUGGGCCCAUGUGAUGUGGUGACUAGACCCACCCCCUGACUUCUGAGGGUUCAUUUUGUCUUUUCAUGUUAGGGAUCCUCCUGCCAGAAACCAGUCUGCAUUUCUCUCUGGGCCCCACGCUGGAAUGAAUUCAGAUAGCAGUGAAGGGCACACGUGAGAACUGCGAAUCACGGGCUUUGCUUCAUGAAAUGUGAAAUCCACAUUGUUUCCACAGGCACCAUCAGUAAUGUCGAACAAAUGGAGAAAGUUGCAGGUGGGGCUAGGAAAGCUGUAUUCCUGUGGAUUACUCUAGCUGGUCAUUUGCCCCGAUUGUGAACUGCUUGAAAGAAAAACGAAACUUCUAAGAUGUUUGUCCUUUCAUGUCCUUUCUGUUGGGAUUUUUUAUUUGGUGUGCGUGAAUGAGGAGCUUCGCCCUGCUUGAAUGGGACCCCUCUCAGUGGUGUCAGCUUGGGGAGGAGGAGAUGGCCCUGGAGACUAAAUACUUGUAUGCUUUCUUACCCUCUUAGGUCUCAGCCUUAGAUCCAAGGACAGUCCAAGGAAGUCCUAAGACCAUGGAGUUGGUGAUCUGGGAUCUGGGUUUGCUGAUAUUUCUCACCGUGAAUCUCUUGGUGGUGUUUGUGGGCACGAGAGGGGCAGAGAAUGGAGAGUGAGGCUACCACAUGAAGCGUCACCAGAGCUGCUCCCUGCUGCCUGCUCAGAGCACCCCGGAUCCACUGUUCAAUCUGCACAAGAUUCGGGGUCCAGACAUGGGAGACUUCAGCUGCCUCAGAGGACCGUGGACAGGGAAGGCCAGCCUCGCAUCCCUCUGUCCAUGCCUGGAAUGACUUUAAUAACCAAGAGUUUUAUUUUUGAAUUUGUAGCUGUCGUUCACUUUUUACCCACCCAUUCAAUAAACCUUACAGAAUUGCUCCA